rnacentral:lncRNA from 10 species
UUGCUGAUGGUCUUGCCUACACCAGGCAGAGAAGGAGAGCACCUAGAAUUAUGCCUUGCACAGAGCAGGUAUAACCCAGCCAAACGGAUUCCAAUCUGAGGCCAAGGUCAACUUAGAGACAACAGACUGUCUACUUCUUCAUGUGCAGUGAGGGCAAGGUCCCAACUGCAGUGGGGCCAGCCCAGGCAGUGACUAGAGAUACCAUCAGCUUGUCUCAGUAUCCUUUGUGUCUGAAGAACUAUCAGCAGGCAAUAGAGCCCUUCCAGUGGUCCCCACAGCCUUCCAAAUAAAGCCCAACCUUAAUGCAGCAUGGAAGCUUUCCAUGUGUUGUCCCUGCCCGCAGCUAUGAAUUCCUGGGCUGCGAUGCGCCCUCUGUGCCCCAUAUCCGACCUGGGCUGCCAGCCCACACCCAGCCACAGCAGGGGCUCCCUCUCCUGUGUCCUCCCCUAAGCCUACUCCCAUCUGGUGCCUACUCCUCAUUUUCAGCUUUGCAGACCCAGUUGAGAGGAGGGUGAAGCCAUCAGCCUAGAUCACCUGGCCAACAUUCUCUAAGGCAGCAGGGAAUGGUAAGCCCAGACCAGCAGCAGCAGCACUGGGAAUGCUUUAGAAAUGCAAAUUCUCAGGCCUCACCCUAGACCUCAUGAAUAGAAAACAAAUCCCAACACAGGCAAAAGCUGGAGAUCCACGGCCCCAGAGCAAAGGCGCCUCUGAGAAGUCCCUGAGCCCACCCUUCCCCACGAGGCUGGGCUGGCACAGCACCGGUGACUGUCCCUGCAUGUGCGCUCUGUGGGCACAGGCGCCUCCCUCAUCUCUGGCCCUCGGGGCCCUACAGAGCACCUGGAAGUCUGGUCCUACUGAACCAGUGAACAAACCAAUCUCCAGCAAUGACAAAACACCAGCUGGUCCAAUAGGAAAAAAGCAAAUGUUCUCAAGCCAUAAUACUGUAUUUGUAGCUAAACAUGUUUGAGCUUGAAUUUUUGAGUGUGAAAGAUUUUGUCUUAUUUCCAUUCGAUUUUGUCCAUUCGAUUUUGCCUUAUUUCCACUGAAAGGUUUCCUGGGACAGUGUCAAGCUCCUUUGCUGGAGUGAACGUUCUUGGAGAGGUGGCAUUCCCUCUCCAAGCUGUUAGAUGAAGCCAGCUAACUCUCCAAUAGGAAUUCCGACUGCUGGGUGCUUCCCGGGACCUGAAACUUCCAGCUUGCCGGCUUUUCCGAUUCUAAGGGUUAGCCCAGGGACACUGUCAUUGUCAUCAUUUAGUUCUCCCUGUGGCAAAUGAUUACAUAUCAGAAAGAGCAGAGGGGGGCUGCCCCUGAGAUGGCCCACAUCAAGGCACCAGCCAGCAUUCUAAGCACCAGAGGUUGCCCUGUGGCACUCUCCCCAAGCCCCUACUUGGUAAGAGAAAAGCUCCACUGAACCCUUCUGGACACAAAGGGUUUUUACACAGCAGCCCAGAGUUCUGCCUGACUGAGCUGAAUAUGAUGGUGAAAUCCUUUGGCAUGCUAGAAAAGAGAGGAACCAUCUACAAAGGAGCUGUCAGGAGGGCAUCUCUCAGAGCAAGAAACCAAGCUGGGCUCAGUGCUCCAGCCUGCCAAGCAGCCCCGGAGCGACCGCACAGCUGACGGUAGAUGCUCCAAGGUUCUCUAAUUACUCAACCCAUUUCCACCUGGAGGGGCUCCAGCGCUUGGCUGGGGCAGACAUCCCACAGCCUCAGCAUCCUGACCCACUGUGGCUAAACGAGCUGGGCGCAAGGCAGGCGCACACCCCAGACUGUCUUGGUUCAACGAGACCUCAGGAGCGCUGGUGCACACACAAGUCUUCCAGCCCAAGAUUACUCUGGUCCAUCUAGCACAGCAGUUCUCAAAGCGAGGUCUAGGGAUCCUGGCAGUCUCAGGGAACCUCGUAGGGGGUCAGUGAGACCAUAACUAUUUUCUUAGUCAUACUAAGACCUUAAUGACUUUUCUCUCUCUCUCUCCCAGCCACCUUCCAGCCAGAUGCUAAAUUUGUAAAAAUGUAAAAACAAUGCCACACUUCUCCCUAAUUUUUUUUUUUUUGGAAAAUAUAGUGAUUGUUAAUAAAAGUAUGUUCUGUUAUUUAUGGUAACAUGUAAUGAGCUGCUCGAUGUUAUUUUUAAAUGAAGUAAUAAAUAUGUAAACC